rnacentral:lncRNA from 1 species
AAGAAUGAGAUAUAUAUAGUUUAUACUAUUCUUUCCAUAUAAAAUACAAACUCAAAGAUUGAUGCCGUAAAAGAAGAUCAAUCAUUCUUUUGCACAAAAGAUGCAACUUAAACCUAGGGUAGGGCAUGGGAGGGGGGUUGGCUUUUCGUGGUUGGAUAAAGGGGAGGAUAGUGAGUGGGGUUAGUGCCCCUUUCAAUUCUCAAAAAAAAAAAUCUAAAUUUAUAUUUUUUUUAUAACUAGAUGUUAUUUGUUUCUAAUUUAAUUAUUUGAAUUAGUUAAAUGUUAAU